rnacentral:rRNA from 1 species
UACGGGGGGUGCAAGCGUUGCUCGGAAUUAUUGGGCGUAAAGGGCAAGUAGGUGGUCUCAUUUGUCUGGGGUGAAAGCCUUGAGCUUAACUCAAGAAGUGCCCCAGAAACGGUGAGACUAGAGUCCUGGAGAGGGUCGUGGAAUUCCCGGUGUAGCGGUGAAAUGCGUAGAGAUCGGGAGGAACACCGGUGGCGAAGGCGGUUCUCUGGGCCUUACCUGACGCUGAGGAGCGAAAGCGUGGGGAGCGAACAGG